rnacentral:rRNA from 1 species
CCUACGGGUGGCAGCAGUGGGGAAUAUUGCGCAAUGGGCGAAAGCCUGACGCAGCGACGCCGCGUGAGGGAUGAAGGUCUUCGGAUCGUAAACCUCUGUCAGCAGGGAAGAACGGUCACUGUGCUAAUCAGCAGUGAAUUGACGGUACCUGCAAAGGAAGCACCGGCUAACUCCGUGCCAGCAGCCGCGGUAAUACGGAGGGUGCGAGCGGGAAUCGGAAUUACUGGGCGUAAAGCGCUCGUAGGCGGUAUGUCAAGUCAAGGGUGAAAUCCCCGCGGCCAACGUGGGAACCGCCUUUGAAAACUGGAAAACUGAGGGUGUGAGAGGGGAGGGGAAUUCCCGGGUUAGGAGUGACA